rnacentral:tRNA from 1 species
GGGUGUGUAGCUCAGUUGGUAGAGCAUUGGACUUUUAAUCCAAUUGUCGUAGGUUCGAGACCUGCCACACUCA